UUUGACCUGAUUGGAUUAGGUCAGAACCAAAAAGGACUUAAGCUGAUCAAAUUAAUUUUAAAUUAAUUUGUUCUUAAUUGGGGAUUGACCUAAUUGAAUUAGGUCCAACACAAAGUAAUAAUUCAAUUUGAUUGAGUUUGCAUGAGCCAAAAUUGAAUUGGAUUCAAUUUGAGCUCAAUCAGGGUCUGACCUGAUUAGAUUGGGUUCAAUCAAAUUGCUUUGUUUUAAUUCGGGUUUGACCAAAUUUGAUUAGGUGCAACCCAAGGGGAUUAGGCUCAGAUGAUGUGUCAAUUAUUGGUGACAUGGAAUUGGAUUUCAUGAAUUUUAAAUAAACCAAAAUUAUUGCAUGGCACAUGGACCCAUUGCUUGACACAUGGCGACAUUGUUUGUUAUUUGAAUUUAAAUUCAAACAUUAAGCAAUGUGUUAAAUGAUUUUAAUCACUCAAACCAUCAGCCAAGGUGGCGUCUGAGUUUUUGAAUGGAUUAAAUUCGAAUUUCAAGAGGUGAUUUCGAAAUUAUAAAGUGUUUUACCUUGACGCAUGGAUUUCAAAUUCCUUCCCUCUUGCACAUGUGUUUAAAAUUUGAAUUUAAAUUAGAUUUGGUUGAGAUCUGAUUUGGGUUGUUCCUAUUCCUUUGCAUGUGCCAACUAAAAGAGGUUUUCUGAAAAUAAAUUUCGAAUUUUGAAUGAAAAUUCGGAGGCCAUUAAAAGGGGUCAAACAUGGGCACCAAAAAUACAUCCAUUGCAGCCUUCUUCCUCACCCGCCUCCUCCUCCUCUUCUUCUCCAUUUUAGAUAGGGUUUUCAGGGUGAAUAUCUAGAAGAUUCAAGAUCAGAUCUGAGUCCUCUACUUCCCUUACAAACCUCAUCUCUAUCUGCUUCAAG
rnacentral:lncRNA from 1 species